GAUGAAGAACGUAGCGAAAUGCGAUACUUGGUGUGAAUUGCAGAAUCCCGUGAACCAUCGAGUCUUUGAACGCAAGUUGCGCCCGAAGCCAUCAGGUUGAGGGCACGUCUGCCUGGGCGUCACAUAUCGUUGCCCAAUGCCUAUUGCAGUGCAAUAGGAAUUUCUAGGGCUAAUGAUGGCUUCCCGUGAGCGUUGUUGCCUCGCGGUUGGUUGAAAAUCGAGUCCUUGGUAGGGUGUGCCAUGGUAGAUGGUGGUCGAGUUAGAACGAUACCGAUCAUGUGCAUGCUCCCCAAAAUAUGGCCUCUAUGACCCACACGCGUCUUUUGACGCUCAUGACGAGACCUCAGGUCAGGCGGGGCUACCCGCUGAAUUUAAGCAUAUCAUUAAGCGGAGGA
rnacentral:misc_RNA from 1 species